rfam:Pseudoalteromonas sp. JW1 Pseudoalteromonas_sp_JW1_S29, whole genome shotgun sequence.
CGCUUUGGCUGAAUUAGUGAUCGGCUAAAGCACAAUUUAAAUUUAUUUUGGAGUUAUUAUGUCACUAAGCAACCAAGAAAAAGCAGAAAUCGUAGCAAAAUUCGCACGUGCAGAA